rnacentral:rRNA from 1 species
UGGGGAAUAUUGCACAAUGGGCGAAAGCCUGAUGCAGCGACGCCGCGUGAGGGAUGACGGCCUUCGGGUUGUAAACCUCUUUCAGCAGGGACGAAGCACAAGUGACGGUACCUGCAGAAGAAGCACCGGCUAACUACGUGCCAGCAGCCGCGGUAAUACGUAGGGUGCAAGCGUUGUCCGGAAUUACUGGGCGUAAAGAGUUCGUAGGCGGUUUGUCGCGUCGUUUGUGAAUACCAGCAGCUCAACUGCUGGCUUGCAGGCGAUACGGGCAGACUUGAGUACUGCAGGGGAGAGUGGAAUUCCUGGUGUAGCGGUGAAAUGCGCAGAUAUCAGGAGGAACACCGGUGGCGAAGGCGGGUCUCUGGGCAGUAACUGACGCUGAGGAACGAAAGCGUGGGUAGCGAACAGG